rnacentral:lncRNA from 1 species
AAGGAGACACAACACUAUCCAAGGCAAACACUAUUCAAAGACAAAGCUUGGAUUUAUGUGAGAAAUCAAGGAGCCAUCCAUUGAAGAUCCAAGGAUGGACAUUGAGUGGCCAAGGCUAUAAAUAGAAGGGUAAUCCCCUCAUUUCCACUCACCACACCAUAAGCAAACUCAAGAGCUUCCACUCCACACUUGUCCACACGUUUUUGCCAUCAAGCUUCCAAGCUUCCAAGUGCUCAAGUGUCCUAGCUUUCCAAAGCUUCAAAAGCUCUCCAACUUCUUCUUCUAAUCUUCUUGGUCAUUUGUACAAGUAAGAAGUGUUGUUUGCUUUGAUAUUCCACUCCUCUAAUCACCUCUUGUGUGUGUCCACUUUGGUUGAGAGGUUUGUCUCAAUAGUACCAAAGUGUGAGGUAAGGUUUCCGAGCUCAACCAUAAAGCUCUGUUUGGUUUUAUAGAGUUUCCAGGAAAACUCUUAGGUGUGAGUCUACCUGUAAAAGACUGGUUCCUAAGCGAGGUAGCCUUAAAGCUUAGAAAGGUUCUUAAGAGUGCCCUUUAAUACUCUAAGGUGUGAGUCUACCCGUAAAAGACUGGUUCCUAAGCGUAGUAGCCUUAAAGCUUAGAGAGGUUUUUAACAGUUCCUUGAAUACUCUAAGGUACUAACUUACCCGUAAAAGUUAGAGGUUCUUAAGAGUGCCCUGUAAUACUCUAAGGUGUGAGUCUACCCGUAAAAGACUGGUUCCUAAGCGUAGUAGCCUUAAAGCUUAGAAAAGGUUUUGCCAUUACCUUUAGGCGAGUGAAAUCCGGCAGUGGGUCGGGACUGGACUAGCCCGUGUUUGGGUGAACCAGUAUAAAUCUCUUGUGUUGUUUUCUGUUAAUUUUAGUUCUAUCUUUUGCUUAAUAACAACACCUAAUUAAAAAGAUCCCUCUUCCAGUUAUCUGGUCAAGAACAGAGGUUGACUACUUUACGCAGAUCCCUCAUCCAGUUAUCUGGUCAACUAUCUGAGGUUACAUUCAUUGUUUUAAUCUUUAUUACUUAUCAUAUUUAUCCAGUUAUCUGGUCACUUACUUGUUUAUCAAAUUAUCCAGUUAUCUGGUCAUUCAUUUACGUAUCAAUUUAUCCAGUUAUCUGGUCAUUUACUCUACAGUAUAAUUUGUGUUUUAAAUAUAACUUAGUAUUCAUAUACUACAGUUGUGUUUGAAACAUUAUCAAGAAAGUUGACUCGUAUUCAUAUACUGUAGUAAGCUUCACAGAGUAAUACUUACAUUACUAUAUCAAUUAAAAUAAUAAUAUCUUUAUAUCAUUACUGUUCAACCAUUUGUUUAUUAAGUGUUUACAGGUAAUUCCGCUAUCAACCUGUCUAAAUCGAAAAGAGGCUAUCACCCCCCCUAUAGCCUCGAAUCACGAUCCAACAAGUGGUAUCAGAGCCAAGUUCCGUUGAAGUCAGACUAACAUCUUACAACAACAACUAUGGCUUCAAAUGGUGAAAACAGUACGGGUCUUGCAUCAAACAAACCUCCCAGGUUUGAUGGAGUAAAGUAUGACUUCUGGAAGAAUAAGAUGAAGUUAUACUUAAAGUCAAUCAACAAUGGAGUCUGGAAAAUAGUAUUGGAAGAUUAUGAGAUUCCAACAAGCAAAGAAGAGACUUGGGGAGCCAUGGAUAUCCUCAAGGAAAACAACAACUCAAGAGCAUUGAAUGCACUAUAUGGCGCUCUCAAUGAAUCUGAGUACAGCAGAAUUCGAUGCUUGGAUACAGCUCACAAGGUAUGGAAAGCUUUGGAGGAUUUACAUGAAGGAACCUCCCAUGUCAAGGAAAAUAAGCUACUACAUGCCACUUCUCAGUUCGAAAGAUUCUCUAUGAGGGAAGAUGAGACUAUCGCAGAAAUGAACAUUCGACUAUCACAAAUAGUCAAUGAUCUGGCUGGAUUAGGGGAUCCAGUAACUGAGAAAAAGCAAGUAAGCAAGAUUCUAAGAAGCCUUCCAGACAAAUACUACUCAAAGAGGAAUGCUAUCCAAGAAUCUCAUGAUCUGAACAAACUCACAGUGGUAGAACUUUGCGGAAAUCUGAUGGCUUAUGAAGAAGAAAGAUUUGUCUCUAGAGCAAAAGAGGAGAAAAAGGACAUUGCUCUUAAAAGUCAAAGUGAAAAUGAAUCAUCUGAUGAUGACGUAGCAAUGCUCACAAAACAUCUAAAGAGAUAUCUCAUAAAAAGUAAAGAAAAGAGAAAUUCAAGGAUAGACUAUCAGAAUUCCGACAAAAGGGUGAGUAAAGACCUCAAAGACUUAAAGGAACCCAUCUGCUACGAAUGCAACAAACCUGGACACAUCAGACCUGAAUGUCCUCUACUAAAGAAAGAAAAAGCGCAUCAAGUACACUGGUCAGAUUCUGAGUCAGACCAAGAAGACUGCCUCAUGGCUCAUGAGAACGACUCUGAGGUAAAUUUUACAAAUACUAGAUUUAAUUCAUUAGAAGAAGCAUUUCUAGAAUUAAUGGAUAAAUAUAAAGCUGAGAAAAAAUUAAAUAAAUCAUUAAAACUAGAAUGCAUGAAUAGACCACAUAUUGAUCAUUCAAUAGAAUUAGAAGAAUCACAAAAAGAAUGCAUGCUAUUAAAAGAAGAAAAUCAUAAACUCUUAAGUAAAAUAGAAAAGGGAAAUGAAAAAAUUAAAACACUUAAGAGUCAAAAUUUUGAAUUACUUGAUAUUCUAGAAUCUGAAGAAAAAGAAUCAAAUGAAAAUAAUGAUAGGGUUGAAUUGUUAGAACUAAAAAUAGAUAAUUUUGAGGAAACCAUUAGAAAUAAAGAAAAAGAAACUAUCAUGCUUAAGACUGAAAUAGAAUCUAAGGAUAAACUCAUACUUGAGCAUGAAGAAACUUUAAAAAAAUUAUCUGAAAAAUAUAAUAGCAUGCAACUAGAAAUUAAAAGAAUGACUGAGAAAAAUAGUGUUCUUCAGAAAUUCUCAAAUAGUUCAUCAAAGUUAAAUAAUUUAUUGCAAGGCUCAAACUUGGGUCAAAAGAAAUUUGGCUUAGGGUUUGAGUCAAAUGCACCUAGUAACAAAACCCUAAAUGCUACAAUUUAUAAUGAUCAUUUUGUAAGGGAAUCUAGUUAUAAAAAACCUUUGCAUACUUCAAGAUACAAUAAUCAUUAUAGCAAUACAAAGUCCAUUCAUCUUAAGAAAAAGAAGAAUCACUUUAAGAUGAAUCGUCCAAAACAAAAAUGGAUGACUAAGGAUGAGCUAAGAGAUUAUACACAAAUCAGGNNNNNNNNNNNNNNNNNNNNNNNNNNNNNNNNNNNNNNNNNNNNNNNNNNNNNNNNNNNNNNNNNNNNNNNNNNNNNNNNNNNNNNNNNNNNNNNNNNNNNNNNNNNNNNNNNNNNNNNNNNNNNNNNNNNNNNNNNNNNNNNNNNNNNNNNNNNNNNNNNNNNNNNNGGUACAAUAGUAGGUAGGGGUAAUGUAGGAAAUAUAGAAAAAUUAUUCUUAAGAAAUGUAUACUUAGUAAAUGGUCUAAAAACACAACCUGAUUAGCAUAGGUCAAUUAUGUGAUAUUGGUUGUGUAGUAAAAUUUAAAAAUACAAUUGUUUUAUCACUAACUCUGAGGGAGUUAUCAUUGCCAUAGGACAUAGAAAAAGCAAUGCUUAUUCUAUAAAAAUUUGAUAGAAUCCCUACACGUUGACUUUAAUGAGUCCAUCUCUGCUCAAAAGAAGGAGGAGUUAAAGUCAUACCAUCUGACACUCAUCUGACACUCCCAUAGAAAGAGAUGAUCAGAAAACAAUCAUCUCUGAACAGGCAUCUCAGAAACUCAGAUCCCGCAAAACAAAUCAUUGGAGAUCAACACAUAUCAAGGCAACUAUGUCCUAGAUUGUUUUGUAUCCCAAAUAAAGUCUAAAUAGAUCUAUGUGCAUAUGACUAUCUGAUAAAUGCAUGCCUAGCAACAUAAAUGUUACAAUAUUAUGCAUGUACACGCAUAUGGUCCUUAAAGGUAUGAACACAUAUGUUUUAAGUCUAGCAUAAUACUAUGACUUAUCUUAUAAAUGCAUGCUAAUGCUUAUCUAUGAAUCUAUAAGAAAAUGAAUCAUAUGCAUGCAUGAUACAUGAUAGUCAAACAGCUGGUUUUGACUUACGUGUAUAAUUAUUUAGCUCAUACAUAUAUUAUAAGAUUAAUCCUAUAUCACUUGAUUAUCUUUGAAUAAUGUUAUGAAUCUUUUAAGCUAUAUGACAUGCAAUCAUAAGCCUUUUCUUACUAAAUCGUUAACUUAUAAUCAAUGCAUGAAAACUAAGCUUAUAUAUACCUGCAUGUUUCAUGUAUUGAUAAACAUAUGCAUAUAAAUCUACCUACAUAUGAGUUGUGCAAUACAUGCUUGAAAAUUUCAAACAAUUCAAUAUGUCAUGAGUAUGCAUACAAGAUGAACACAAAAAAAAAAAAAAAUAUAUAUAUAUAUAUAUAUUGACUCAUGCCAUGUCACCACGAAUUUACAUGAAUAUGCAAAUCUAUAUAUCUAUCCUAAGAACAGGUGGGACAGGCAAACAUGCCAAUUGUCAAAACUCAGUAUGACAAAUCUUCUUGAUCUUGAAAAUCCAAACAUCCUCGACCUUGGUGAAAGAACUUCCAAAGCUCAUACCUGCACACUCUAGCUACCUCGGUAUUGAAGAUUCAGCCACCAUAUUCAACACAACAAGCAACGACAACUUUCUGCAAGCAGCUCGGGCAAAAGCAAAUCUUGCACCUGCUCUACACACAUCACUCUUAACCUACAGAAGUCCAAAACAUCGGCUGCAAAAGUCUAAGCAUGGAAGAGUGUAAAAGUUGUGUUGAACUACUAAAAAGGUAUGAUCUAAAUAGUUAAAUAAAUAGCUCUUCAAAAGCAAAUCUUAACUUAGAUCUAUUAAACAAAAUCCCUAGAUAAAUCUAAAUGAGUUGACUCUCCAAGACAUGUGUCAUGGAGUGUUAAAAAAACCCUAAAUUGCUAACUCUACACGGUUAGACAUGACUAAAAGCUUGUAAAGCUUUACAAGUAAUAUCUGUUGAAAAUCUGGACAGACAAGAUCUGUCAAAAGAUAAAAUAUUCCACUAUAAAAAGAUGGGAAGAACAAUCACAUCUGCUUCUUAUUCUGUCUCCUAACACCAAGUAGGGUUUAUUGAAAAACAAACCCUAAAAGCCAACCAUCCAAAAGUUGAACACAAAAUUGGCUUGAUCACGUGAAAAGAUCUACAAGCUAUAUUAGCUAAUCUGAAUUUAUCUAAAUUCAGAACUGAUUGACAUCUGAAAAGAAAAAUUUCUGUCUAAGAAGUGAUAAAAUGCUUUGAAUCUUUUCAAGAUUCACCAAGCAGCAAUCAACCCUAAAAGCUGCUAAUCUUAGGCAUGACUUAAAGAUGUUUUCACUACUUGUAACUCCACAAGUAAUGACAGUCCAUAAAAAAUCGGGACAGACCAUAUAGAUAAGCUUGAGGUGAAUCAAUUCACUAUAUAAGGACAGGAAGAUAAACAACUAUAUCAUCUUCUUCCAUCUUAAGAUACAUCCAAGGAUGUUGAUUGAAGAAAUCAAUCCAGAGAAGAAGGAGCUCACAAUUAUUCCAGACUAUCCUUCCAGUCCAGUAUACAACCCUAAUCCCUCAAGCAGCAAUGUCAUCCGGAAGAAACGCUCCAGGAAGAUUCCAGUGUCAGAAAUGUUCCGGGGAACACCAACUUGGAUCUCUUCAGUAGCUAAGUUCUCCUAUGAUCUCAUUCUCGAGCAAAGAAUGAUCUUUGAGGAACCUGUUAUACUUAGAUCUCUCAACUGCAGGGUGAUUGAAGGGCUACUGAACUUCAAUAGGCUUACUGACUAUCUUGAGAAUAUAGGGCAACUCAGAAUCUACAAAUCUGAGUUGGCUCAGUUCUAUGCCAAUCUCAGAUAUGAAGCAGCAGGUUCUCAAGUGAUCACCACCACAAUAAAUGGAAUACCUCUCAUUCUAGGAGGUGAUAAACUUGGACUAUGGAUAAAUCUGCCCAACAAUGGAGUGAAGCUUCAAAAUUACAGAAGGCUGGAUGAGCUACCUUUCAAGUGCAGCUGGGAGAUUCUCUGGAAUACUCUCACUCACAGGUACAACCCUAAGAGCACUGAUAGAAUCCUAAAGACAAUGCUCAUACCAGAAGCUUCAAUUUUUCUGAAGAUCAUCUCAUACAACAUUUAUCCUCAAGUUGAAGAUAGAGAAGAACCAUCAACAUCGAUCUUAGUAGCAAUCUACUGUCUGCUGUCAAAGAUUAGAGUGAAUUGGGUAUCACUAAUCAUGCACAAUAUGGCUACAUCAACCAAGAACACUGGAGCUCGCUACUACCCAAGGAUGCUUUCAAAAUUACUCAGUCCAGGGUACUUUGGAAUUCCACUCUAUCCUCAUCCGAUCAUAUCUCACAUCCAGCCAUUCACUGCAAGCUCUUUCCAAAAGACUUGGAGAAACACCUAUGAUCCAAACUCACCAAACACUAAUGUGUUUCUGAAUGAAGAAGUCAUAAGAGUUAGACAUCAAGUAAGAAUGCUGGAGAAAGGAAUGGGAGAUCUGGAAGAAAUGGUUUCUUUGACAAGGCAACAGCUAGAUGAUGAAAGGGAGUACAACCUGGAGCUUGCAACUCUAUUCCACGAGUUUAGCUCCAAGGUCAUUCCAACCAUGCACCACCAUGACUGAACUACUUUUGCCCUAAGAAGUUUGUUUUGACAUUUUGAGUACUUAAUCUUGUGUAUGUUUUUCUGCUAUUUUGGAGAUCCAUUCAUGGAUCGUAGUCUCAUUGAAUAUGAGAUUAAUCUAGUAAUGUAUCACCUCUUUUGUUGAAAUGGAAGAAGUUCUAUGAUUUUAAGUUUAUCAACAUAAGGGUAUGCAUGCAUAAAGAAAAACAUAAUGUUAGAAAUAUCAAAAACUUAAGGGCUGCAUGGAUCUUUGGUUAAUACUUUAGGGCAUAAUUAAAAUUAUUUUGAAGUAUUAAUCAACUUUAAACUUCAAGGGAUUAAACAUAAAUUAUGUUUGAAGUCUCUAAGUUUAGAAUAAUUCACUGAAAGCUUAAGGAUUAAAGUGAUAUUUUCCAGUGAAUAUAAAUUUAGUGAAAACUUCAAGGACUUAAAUGAAAAUCAUUUGUGAAGUUUUAAGAUUCACUGAAAGCUUAAGGAUUAAAGUUAUAUUUUCCAGUGAAUAUAAAUUUAGUGAAAACUUCAAGGACUUAAAUGAAAAUCAUUUGUGAAGUUUUUAAGAUUCACUGAAUACUUAAGGAUCAAAAUUAUAUUUUUCAGUGAAUAUAAAUUUAGUUAAAACUUCAGGGACUUAAAUGAAAAUCAUUUAUGAAGUUUUUAAGUUUCAAUGGAUUCACUGAAUACUUAAGGAUCAAAAUUAUAUUUUCAGUGAAUAUAAAGUUUUGUGAAACUUCAGGGACUUAAAUGAAAAUCAUUUAUGAAGGUUUUAAGUUUCAAUGGAUUCACUGAAUACUUAAGGAUCAAAAUUAUAUUUUCAGUGAAUAUAAAUUUAGUUAAAACUUCAGGGACUUAAAUGAAAAUCAUUUAUGAAGGUUUUAAGUUUCAAUGGAUUCACUGAAUACUUAAGGAUCAAAAUUAUAUUUUCAGUGAAUAUAAAUUUAGUUAAAACUUCAGGGACUUAGAAUCAAUAUUUACAUGAAGUUUUAAUCAAAAAUUACUUAGAAAUAUUUAAUACUUCCAAGGUUUAAAAUGAAAUUUUUUAAGUAUUAAUCUAAGUAUUCAUUAUAAUUUCAAAGGGAUUAAAUUAUCUAUGAAGUUUUUGAAACUUAAGGGGUCAAAGGAUAUCUUUACAGUGAAUAAAUAUUUAGUUAAAACUUCAACGACUUAAAAUUAAUAUUUACAUGAAGUUUUCAAUGCUUAGAAUUGGUUAAUACUUCCAAGGUUUACAUGAAAUAUUUCAAGUAUUAAUCUAAGUAUUUAUUAUAACUUCAAAGGGCUUAAAUGAAAUUUUAUUUUAAGUGAAGUUUUACUACUAAGACUUUAAGGACUAAAAUGAAAAUUUUAAAUCUUUUAAAACUUAGUGAAUAUUUACAUGAUUAUAUUUGUCAUUAAGACAUAGAUUUUAAAAUUUUAAAUGCUCAAUUUCUCCUUAAAGCAAUUAUGGAUUUAUACAUAUCAUUCACUAAUAUCUUAUGGAUUAUAACAUUAUAAAAUCUUUAAUCCAUACAUGUUAAGAUCAUCUUCAUCCAUAACACACACAUGGAUUAUUAUUCAUUGCAUGAUCUUAGCACAAGGCAAUUUAAAUUAUCAUAUCAUACUUGCCUUAUAAUGUAUAUCAAAAUUGGCUUCAAUCCAAUAUUUUAUCAAUUAGCAUAAAUUACAUGUUAUUUCUCCUUUAUGAUUGACUAACACUCUUAUAAGCAAGACGUCACAUUUGGUCAACCACACAAAUCGAAUUUGUGAUUAAAGCUCAAUGAGGUAUGAAAUUUUAUUUUCUCCACAAAUUAGAUAUAUCCUAUCAUUAAGGGGGAGAUACUUCACAGGUAUCUAUUUUUUUGUCGAUACCUUAUUGUUUUAAGGGGGAGAAAUCAUGCAUGAUCCACUGGUUUUAAAUUGAAUAUUAUGGGUCAAUAAUUCAGGGGGAGCAUGCUCAUAAGGGUAAAAUAGAAUAUUGACUAGACAUGAGUUAAAACAUAUAUGCCAUCGACAAAGGGGGAGAAUGUAGAAUCAAAAUUGUCGACAUAGGAUUAUAUUUUAAUCAUGUCAAUUUAAACCCUAAUUACACUAUUAAUCAAUAUAUAGGGGUUAAAUAAGUCAAUAGAUAUUAAACCUAACUCUAGUUAAUUAAUUAAUCAUUUGAGUUAAGGGUUUAAGUCAAAGUUAAAAGUCAAAUUGGGAGAAUUGCAUUUUCAUCUUGAAUAUUAUUAAUUGGGAGAAUUGCAUUUUCAUCUUGAAUAUUAUUAAUUGGGAAAAUUGCACUUUCACCUUGAAUAUUAUUAUUUGGAAUAAUUGCAUUUUACCUUGCAUAUUAUUAUUAUUAUCUUGUGACACUUUAUUCAAGGUAUAAUAUUCCAAGGAGACAAAACACUAUUCAAGUUUGAAUUUACAAAGAUAAGAUUCUUCAACAAAGACAAGGAGACAAAACACUAUUCAAGUUUGAAUUUACAAAGAAAAAGAAUUCUCCUACAACGGUAAAAUUCUCUACUCAAGUUUGAAUUUACAAAGAUUUGAAUUUCUCCAACAAAGACAAGGAGACACAACACUAUCCAAGGCAAACACUAUUCAAAGACAAAGCUUGGAUUUAUGUGAGAAAUCAAGGAGCCAUCCAUUGAAGAUCCAAGGAUGGACAUUGAGUGGCCAAGGCUAUAAAUAGAAGGGUAAUCCCCUCAUUUCCACUCAACCACACCAUAAGCAAACUCAAGAGCUUCCACUCCACACUUGUCCACACGUUUUUGCCAUCAAGCUUCCAAGCUUCCAAGUGCUCAAGUGUCCUAGCUUUCCAAAGCUUCAAAAGCUCUCCAACUUCUUCUUCUAAUCUUCUUGUUCAUUUGUACAAGUAAGAAGUGUUGUUUGCUUUGAUAUUCCACUCCUCUAAUCACCUCUUGUGUGUGUCCACUUUGGUUGAGAGGGUUGUCUCAAUAGUACCAAAGUGUGAGGAAAGGUUUGUGAGCUCAACCAUAAAGCUCUGUUUGGUUUUAUAGAGUUUCCAGGAAAACUCUUAGGUGUGAGUCUACCUGUAAAAGACUGGUUCCUAAGCGAAGUAGCCUUAAAGCUUAGAGAGGUUCUUAAGAGUGCCCUGUAAUACUCUAAGGUGUGAGUCUACCCGUAAAAGACUGGUUCCUAAGCAUAGUAGCCUUAAAGCUUAGAGAGGUUUUUAAGAGUUCCUUGAAUACUCUAAGGUACUAACUUACCCGUAAAAGUUAGAGGUUCUUAAGAGUGCCCUGUAAUACUCUAAGGUGUGAGUCUACCCGUAAAAGACUGGUUCCUAAGCGUAGUAGCCUUAAAGCUUAGAAAAGGUUUUGCCAUUACCUUUAGGCGAGUGAAAUCCGGCAGUGGGUCGGGACUGGACUAGCCCGUGUUUGGGUGAACCAGUAUAAAUCUCUUGUGUUGUUUUCUGUUAAUUUUAGUUCUAUCUUUUGCUUAAUAACAACACCUAAUUAAAAAGAUCCCUCUUCCAGUUAUCUGGUCAAGAACAGAGGUUGACUACUUUACGCAGAUCCCUCAUCCAGUUAUCUGGUCAACUAUCUGAGGUUACAUUCAUUGUUUUAAUCUUUAUUACUUAUCAUAUUUAUCCAGUUAUCUGGUCACUUACUUGUUUAUCAAAUUAUCCAGUUAUCUGGUCAUUCAUUUACGUAUCAAUUUAUCCAGUUAUCUGGUCAUUUACUCUACAGUAUAAUUUGUGUUUUAAAUAUAACUUAGUAUUCAUAUACUACAGUUGUGUUUGAAACAUUAUCAAGAAAGUUGACUCAGUAUUCAUAUACUGUAGUAAGCUUCACAGAGUAAUACUUACAUUACUAUAUCAAUUAAAAUAAUAAUAUCUUUAUAUCAUUACUGUUCAACCAUUUGUUUAUUAAGUGUUUACAGG